GCCCGGGUGGCGGAACGGUAGACGCUUCCGACUCAAAAUCGGCUGGCCGCAAGGCCGUGCGGGUUCGAAUCCCGCCCCGGGUA
rnacentral:tRNA from 1 species